GCUAAGCGCGGUGCAGGGAACGUGAGGUACCGUUCUCGUCUAGUGUAUGAUCCCACGGUAUCACCCUACUACAAGGUGGUCAAAAUUCCCACUCUCGCUUACUACCGUCGUGGAGAGGAGCCAGACCCUCGAUGGAGGAAUCACAAUGGCUGCCAUCCCUGUGCAAGAUGUUUGUUUACUCGUCCAAGGCGGGCUGUUGGGAGGAGAAGGAUUUCGUCCGAGAAGGAGAUGCAGUAGGGACUGCUGGUAAGAUCUGAGCGCGUCGCAGCAAACUCUCAGCUGCCUAUUUUCGGGGAGCACUUUAUCUACACUGUCAGACUGAUUUCCUUAUGAGAGUAUCAUUGUCUAACAAUACAUACAGCGUAAUUGAACCACCAAUGGGUCUUAACGCGGAGCACUAUCUGGGGAUUAAAAUAGCAAAAUCGGGAAAUGGUUUGUACUUUGUGGCACUUGAUACGAGCUCGCGUAGGGAUAGGGAUAUCUGCAGGCUUGAGUUUGGAUCCUUAAUGAAUCUUGUGGUCAGAUGGUGUGCAUGUUGAAGCACGACAAAGACCUUACGCAGAUGCCCUGUCAUCAGCUGUUUCGCACACCAGUUAAAUGGGUCUUAGUAGAAGAUAUUAACUGCAGCAUGUUCCGUGAUUCUGAGUUUCAACAAGACAACAACAAAGAAACAACCGAGGAGAAAUUUGAUUGGAGCUCUGAUGGGGAUGUUGAAGACAAAAACAUGGUUGAUCAUGGUUACUCAUUAAAAGACAUGAGAGAUUUAUUUUAUGACAUUGAGUUACUUGGGUUUCACCCAAAUGAAGAGAUUGUCUUCUUGACUGCAUCAAAGCAGACAUGUCUGGCAUAUCAUUUGAAUGGCUCCAAGAUUGAAGAAUUAGGAAAUAUGUACCCAAAGGAUUAUUAUUGGUUCAAAGAGUUAGCUAAUGAAAUGGAGCAUAUCAAGUCUUUUAUAUACACCCCAUGCUGGAUGCAAGAGUUCCCUGGAAGCAAUUAGUCUACAAGUUCAUCCUACCUAUGGGCCUAUGUUAUUUGCCCGACCGAACGUAAUUAAUAAACAGCUUGCACAGGAUGUUGGGCCUAUGUUAUUUGUCCAUUUAUUUGAGUGGCGUAAUAAACGGCUUGCAUAAGAUGUCUAUGUCAUCUUUACUUUUUAUAUGUAUUUAUGAGGAAUGGUUAACUUUUAGUUGAUUAUUGUUCGGUUAAACCUGUUUUUUUUUCUUUGUGAACACUGUUAAAUUUAUAUGUAUUUAUAAGGAUUUGUCAUCUAGUUUUCAUUA